UACGUAGGUGGCAAGCGUUGUCCGGAUUUACUGGGCGUAAAGAGCGCGCAGGCGGUCGUUCAAGUCGCGUGUGAAAGCCCCCGGCUCAACUGGGGAGGGUCACGCGAUACUGAUCGACUCGAAGGCAGGAGAGGGUAGUGGAAUUCCCGGUGUAGUGGUGGAAUGCGUAGAUAUCGGGAGGAACACCAGUGGCGAAGGCGGUUGCCUGGGGCUUUGCUGACGCUGAUGCGCGAAAGCGUGGGGAGCGAUCCGG
rnacentral:rRNA from 1 species